CCUACGGGAGGCAGCAGUGAGGAAUAUUGGUCAAUGGACGAGAGCCUGAACCAGCCAAGCCGCGUGAAUGAUGACUGCCCUAUGGUUUGUAAACUCCUUUUAUAGGGGAAUAAAACAGGGUAUGCAUACCCUCUUGUAUGUACCAUCUGCAUAAGGAUCGGCUAACUCCGUGCCAGCAGCCGCGGGAAUACGGAGGUGGCGAGCGUUAACCGGAUUGAUUGGGUUUAAAGGGAGCGUAGGUGGAUUGUUAAGUCAGAUGUGAAAGUUUGCGGCUCAACCGUAAAAUUGCAGUUGAAACUGGCAGUCUUGAGUGCAGUAGAGGUGGGCGGAAUUCGUGGUGUAGCGGUGAAAUGCGUAGAGAGCACGAAGAACUCCGAUGGCGAAGGCGGCUCACUGGACUGCAACUGACGCUGAUGCUCGAAAGUGUGGGGAGCAAACAGGAUUAGAUACCCGGGUAGUC
rnacentral:rRNA from 1 species